rnacentral:rRNA from 1 species
GAUGAACGCUGGCGGCGUGCCUAAUACAUGCAAGUCGAGCGAACGGACGAGAAGCUUGCUUCUCCGAUGUUAGCGGCGGACGGGUGAGUAACACGUGGAUAACCUACCUAUAAGACUGGGAUAACUUCGGGAAACCGGAGCUAAUACCGGAUAAUAUUUUGAACCGCAUGGUUCAAAAGUGAAAGACGGUCUUGCUGUCACUUAUAGAUGGAUCCGCGCUGCAUUAGCUAGUUGGUAAGGUAACGGCUUACCAAGGCAACGAUGCAUAGCCGACCUGAGAGGGUGAUCGGCCACACUGGAACUGAGACACGGUCCAGACUCCUACGGGAGGCAGCAGUAGGGAAUCUUCCGCAAUGGGCGAAAGCCUGACGGAGCAACGCCGCGUGAGUGAUGAAGGUCUUCGGAUCGUAAAACUCUGUUAUUAGGGAAGAACAUAUGUGUAAGUAACUGUGCACAUCUUGACGGUACCUAAUCAGAAAGCCACGGCUAACUACGUGCCAGCAGCCGCGGUAAUACGUAGGUGGCAAGCGUUAUCCGGAAUUAUUGGGCGUAAAGCGCGCGUAGGCGGUUUUUUAAGUCUGAUGUGAAAGCCCACGGCUCAACCGUGGAGGGUCAUUGGAAACUGGAAAACUUGAGUGCAGAAGAGGAAAGUGGAAUUCCAUGUGUAGCGGUGAAAUGCGCAGAGAUAUGGAGGAACACCAGUGGCGAAGGCGACUUUCUGGUCUGUAACUGACGCUGAUGUGCGAAAGCGUGGGGAUCAAACAGGAUUAGAUACCCUGGUAGUCCACGCCGUAAACGAUGAGUGCUAAGUGUUAGGGGGUUUCCGCCCCUUAGUGCUGCAGCUAACGCAUUAAGCACUCCGCCUGGGGAGUACGACCGCAAGGUUGAAACUCAAAGGAAUUGACGGGGACCCGCACAAGCGGUGGAGCAUGUGGUUUAAUUCGAAGCAACGCGAAGAACCUUACCAGAUCUUGACAUCCUUUGACAACUCUAGAGAUAGAGCCUUCCCCUUCGGGGGACAAAGUGACAGGUGGUGCAUGGUUGUCGUCAGCUCGUGUCGUGAGAUGUUGGGUUAAGUCCCGCAACGAGCGCAACCCUUAAGCUUAGUUGCCAUCAUUAAGUUGGGCACUCUAAGUUGACUGCCGGUGACAAACCGGAGGAAGGUGGGGGUGACGUCAAAUCAUCAUGCCCCUUAUGAUUUGGGCUACACACGUGCUACAAUGGACAAUACAAAGGGCAGCGAAACCGCGAGGUCAAGCAAAUCCCAUAAAGUUGUUCUCAGCUCGGAUUGUAGUCUGCAACUCGACUACAUGAAGCUGGAAUCGCUAGUAAUCGUAGAUCAGCAUGCUACGGUGAAUACGUUCCCGGGUCU